UAAUUCAGCUGGCAGGGGAGAUACUUAGAUUCUGAAGAUCACGUACCCAGGGUGUGUCUUACCUAGUCCACUCCAGGUGUGCUGUCCCUUAGGAUUUCCCAGAUGUGGGAAACUGGGUCGCGUAGUCUGUGGUUGUGGGAGACAUCCAUGUUCCCAU